GCAAGUCGAACGCGAACGUACCUUCGGGUGCAAGUAGAGUGGCGGACGGGUGAGUAACGCGUGGGAAUCUGCCCAGUAGUGGGGGACAACUACCGGAAACGGUAGCUAAUACCGCAUACGCCCUACGGGGGAAAGGCUUCGGCCGCUAUUGGAUGAGCCCGCGUCAGAUUAGCUGGUUGGUAAGGUAAUGGCUUACCAAGGCUACGAUCAGUAGCUGGUCUGAGAGGAUGAUC
rnacentral:rRNA from 1 species